rnacentral:rRNA from 1 species
UAGGGAAUAUUGGACAAUGGGGGCAACCCUGAUCCAGCCAUGCCGCGUGAGUGAAGAAGGCCCUCGGGUUGUAAAGCUCUUUUGUCCGGAAAGAAAAGCUUCGGGUUAAUACCCCGGGGUUCUGACGGUACCGGAAGAAUAAGCACCGGCCAACUUCGUGCCAGCAGCCGCGGUAAUACGAAGGGUGCAAGCGUUACUCGGAAUUACUGGGCGUAAAGCGUGCGCAGGCGGUUUUGUAAGACAGAUGUGGAAUCCCCGGGCUUAACCUGGGAACUGCGUUUGUGACUGCAAGGCUGGAGUACGGCAGAGGGGGGUGGAAUUCCACGUGUAGCAGUGAAAUGCGUAGAGAUUUGGAGGAACACCGAUGGCGAAGGCAGCCCCCUGGGCCUGUACUGACGCUCAUGCACGAAAGCGUGGGGAGCAAACA